GAUGAACGCUGGCGGCGUGCUUAACACAUGCAAGUCGAACGAUGAUGCCCAGCUUGCUGGGUGGAUUAGUGGCGAACAGGUGAGUAACACGUGAGUAACCUGCCCUUGACUCUGGGAUAAGCCUGGGAAACUGGGUCUAAUACCGGAUACGACCAUCUGGCGCAUGUCAUGGUGGUGGAAAGCUUUUGUGGUUUUGGAUGGACUCGCGGCCUAUCAGCUUGUUGGUGGGGUAAUGGCCUACCAAGGCGACGACGGGUAGCCGGCCUGAGAGGGUGACCGGCCACACUGGGACUGAGACACGGCCCAGACUCCUACGGGAGGCAGCAGUGGGGAAUAUUGCACAAUGGGCGCAAGCCUGAUGCAGCGACGCCGCGUGAGGGAUGACGGCCUUCGGGUUGUAAACCUCUUUCAGUAGGGAAGAAGCGAAAGUGACGGUACCUGCAGAAGAAGCGCCGGCUAACUACGUG
rnacentral:rRNA from 1 species